rnacentral:rRNA from 1 species
UACGGAGGGUGCAAGCGUUAUCCGGAUUCACUGGGUUUAAAGGGUGCGUAGGUGGGUUGGUAAGUCAGUGGUGAAAUCUCCAGGCUUAACUUGGAAACUGCCAUUGAUACUAUCAAUCUUGAAUACCGUGGAGGUCAGCGGAAUAUGUCAUGUAGCGGUGAAAUGCUUAGAUAUGACAUAGAACACCGAUAGCGAAGGCAGCUUGCUACACAAUUAUUGACACUGAGGCACGAAAGCGUGGGGAUCAAACAGG